UGUUCGGAUUUACUGGGCGUAAAGCGCACGUAGGCGGAUUGGUCAGUUAGGGGUGAAAUCCUGGAGCUCAACUCCAGAACUGCCUUUAAUACUGCCAGUCUCGAGUCCGGAAGAGGUAAGUGGAACUCCUAGUGUAGAGGUGGAAUUCGUAGAUAUUCGGAAGAACACCAGUGGCGAAGGCGACUUACUGGACGAUUGUUGACGCUGAGGUGCGAAAGCGUGGGGAGCAAACAGG
rnacentral:rRNA from 1 species